AAGUCGUAACAAGGUAACCGUAGGUGAACCUGCGGUUGGAUCAUUAUUGAAAUGUAUCUACCCUGGGUGGGCUCAUUAUUGAGUUCACUCAUUUACCUAAAUGCCAACCAUUAUGUACCAGUGUCUGACCAGUUAGGAUUAUAUAUAAUGCUAGCUGGUUAGGUCACUAUUAUUUAUAAACAUUUACUCCUAGUCAAUCUCAUUUCUUACUUUUUAUAAGAAAAACAACUUUUGACAAUGGAUCUCUUGGCUCUC
rnacentral:misc_RNA from 1 species